rnacentral:lncRNA from 1 species
AUUAGUCUGGUUCAAAUGACAAUCAAAUAAGCCAGUGCUCCAGGGAGCUCCAAUUGGUAAUGGCGAUGGCGAUGGCGGCUGUACAUCCUUUACUCCUUGGUACUGUUGAGGAGGCUGUGAGGCAACUGGUUCAGGAGUUUCUAUUUCAUUAUUUUCUUCAACUCUUCCCAUUGUAUUCAAUACCACAAGUAGGAUGAAGAUAACUUUCUGCUCAAAUAUUAAUAAGCUCUUUAAUUCUUUCAUAUAAUAUAGGGGAAAUGGUUGUGUGAUAUGUUGACGAGAAAACAGACAUGUCCAGAGUGGAUGGCAUCUUUGACUUGGAAAAACUAAUCAAUGAGAUUAUUCAGAUUAGCUGCAUGUCCUUUUCCACGUUAAACAAUUUUUUAGGAUUCUACCAAUAUCACAUAUGUGGACAAAAUUAAGAAGGUAAAAUAGUAGAAGAUUUUUUCUAAUUAUAACUCAAAUUACAAGAAGCUUCCAAGAGCAUUUUGUUCCAAGUUGGCUAUGUAUUCAUUUGCAACUAGCCGAGUUUGGUGACUAGUUGCAAAUUGGAAACAGAAUUAGUACAACGAACCUUUUAAAACCUCUCUAUUACAGCUUUGUUUGUUCCGACAUUAUUUGGCUGCUAUAGUUAGUAAAGUGCAGAAGGUAUAUUAUAAUGUAAUGUUAAUAUUGGUUUCGAAAAAAAAUUUUAUAGCAAAUAAUUGUUAUAUAGGGAUGCUGUUACAGAAAGAUCUAUUCUAACAGUUU